AGUAACGGCGAUUGAGGCGGCAACAGCUAAAAUUUGAAAUCUGGCCCCUGGGGGUCCGAGUUGUAAUUUGUAGAGAAUGCUUUUGGUGAGGUGCCGCCCGAGUUCCCUGGAGCGGGACGCCACAGAGGGUGAGAGCCCCGUCUGGCUGGCGACCGAGCCUCUGUAAAGCUCCUUCGACGAGUCGAGUUGUUUGGGA
rnacentral:rRNA from 1 species